rnacentral:rRNA from 1 species
GUGAGGAAUUUUCUGCAAUGGGCGAAAGCCUGACAGAGCAAUAUCGCGUGAGGGAUGAAGGUCUAUUGAUUGUAAACCUCUUUUCUUGGGGAGGAAAAACUGACAGUACCCAAGGAAUAAGUAUCGGCUAACUCUGUGCCAGCAGCCGCGGUAAUACAGGGGAUACAAGUGUUAUCCGGAAUUAUUGGGCGUAAAGCGUCUGUAGGUGGAUAAAUAAGUCUUUUGUUAAAGCUUUAAGCUUAACUUAAAAACUGCAAAAGAUACUGUUUUUCUAGAGUAUAGUAGAGGUAAAGGGAAUUUUCAAAGAAGCGGUGAAAUGCGUUGAUAUUGAAAGGAACACCGAUGGCGAAGGCACUUUACUGGGCUAUUACUGACACUGAGAGACGAAAGCUAGGGGAGCAAACAGGAUUAGAAACCCGGGUAGUCC